AGAGAGAGAGAGAGAGAGAGAGAGAGAUCGCCUUACGAAAUAACGCAAAUUCGCAAGGCAAGCUGUAAAACGAUCCCACCAGGGAGCAAAGUACCAGUCUGAUAAGAGAAUGCAGGAACGAAAAGACCCCUAGUAAAGGACAUUGCGCCUGUAAGGAGAUCUCUUCGUGACCACGAGAACAAGUUUGUAGUGAGUUCGUGUAUGCAGGUAUAUAUAUAUCUAUCUACCCGGGAGCAAUCGUCGGUAGAAGGAUCCGCUACUUCUCGCGAAUUUACAUUCUUUUUUAAGACUCGACGGAGCAUGAAAUAUGCAAGGGUGGCAAGGCAUAUCGCAGGAAAGAAAACAAAGGUUCGCAAAUAAUUAGAUAAAAUUAAAUUUGAAGUUGCAUGGGAAUGAGAUAAAAAUAUUUUCUCUAUGGCAACAAAGAGUAAACUAUUUUAAACUCAAUAAAUUAUCUCCGACAACGUAACAACGUUUCUGCACAAUUUUAAAAUCAUUCUCUUCUUGAGAUACCCACGCUCGCUUGCGAAUGGAGGAGAAACAUAGUCGGGAAUAUCUAUUUGCUUGUAUCAUGAAUGAUGUUACGUCGGGGCAAACACGGUUGGCAAAAUUUUAUUGUCGAGACGCGAGCAAUUUUCUCUUUGUUGAAUGUUCGUUUGAUAUAGAAUCGACGAGUACAUCGAGAAUCGUACACGUGCACGAUUAAGUGACCUCUUCUCACGGAUAUG